GAUGAAGAACGCAGCGAAAUGCGAUAAGUAGUGUGAAUUGCAGAAUUCAGUGACUCAUCGAAUCUUUGAACGCACAUUGCGCCCUUUGGUAUUCCUUAGGGCAUGCCUGUUCGAGCGUCAUUUAAACCUUCAAGCUAAGCUUGGUGUUGGGUGACUGUCCGCUUCACGGCGGACUCGCCUCAAAAUUAUUGGCGGCCGGUACAUUGGCUUCGAGCGCAGCAGAAACGCGAACUCGGGCCCGUCGUAUUGGCUCCCAGAAGCUAUCUUCACAAUUUUGACCUCGGAUCAGGUAGGGAUACCCGCUGAACUUAAGCAUAUCAAUAAGCGGAGGA
rnacentral:misc_RNA from 1 species